rnacentral:rRNA from 1 species
GACGAACGCUGGCGGCGUGCCUAAUACAUGCAAGUCGAACGCACGAAGUUGAAGAGCUUGCUCUUUAACCAAGUGAGUGGCGGACGGGUGAGUAACACGUGGGUAACCUGCCCAUUAGAGGGGGAUAACAUUCGGAAACGGAUGCUAAUACCGCAUAGUUUCAGGAAUCGCAUGAUUCUUGAAGGAAAGGUGGCUUCGGCUACCACUAAUGGAUGGACCCGCGGCGUAUUAGCUAGUUGGUGAGGUAAUGGCUCACCAAGGCAAUGAUACGUAGCCGACCUGAGAGGGUGAUCGGCCACACUGGGACUGAGACACGGCCCAGACUCCUACGGGAGGCAGCAGUAGGGAAUCUUCCGCAAUGGACGAAAGUCUGACGGAGCAACGCCGCGUGAGUGAAGAAGGUUUUCGGAUCGUAAAACUCUGUUGUAAGUCAAGAACGAGUGUGAGAGUGGAAAGUUCACACUGUGACGGUAGCUUACCAGAAAGGGACGGCUAACUACGUGCCAGCAGCCGCGGUAAUACGUAGGUCCCGAGCGUUGUCCGGAUUUAUUGGGCGUAAAGCGAGCGCAGGCGGUUUGAUAAGUCUGAAGUUAAAGGCUGUGGCUCAACCAUAGUUCGCUUUGGAAACUGUCAAACUUGAGUGCAGAAGGGGAGAGUGGAAUUCCAUGUGUAGCGGUGAAAUGCGUAGAUAUAUGGAGGAACACCGGUGGCGAAAGCGGCUCUCUGGUCUGUAACUGACGCUGAGGCUCGAAAGCGUGGGGAGCGAACAGG